GCAUGCGUCAGAAAAAUAAUUUCACGUGAGAAGUCCAGAGUGCAAUUGAACCUGCGGGACAAUGCUUUAAGGAACGGGUGGCAACCCUAGCCUGCUUUGCAGUCACUCUGACAGGAUUCUUGCCUAGUGUGAGCUUUAUCCAGAACCACCUCCAAAGGUAAGCUGAGAUAGGCUGCUCACGGAGACCCCGGUUGGAUAGGCUGCUCGCUCAUGGAGAACCCAGUGGAAUAGGCUCCUCGUUCACGGAGAACCCGCUGGGAUAGGCUGCUCGCUCAUGGAGAACCCGCUGAGAAAUAGGCUGCACUCUCACGGUGACCCCGCUGGGAUAGGCUGCACUCUCACGGUGAGCCUGCACUCCCUGAAUGGUGAUGUGAGUGUUCUAUUAUUACACAAUUAGCACUGCUAACACAUGGGCAGGUAACACCUGAGGAUUGAUAAAUGACAGCUUAUCCUUUGAAACAAACUGACAAAAACAAGAGAAAUGCACAAAGGUCUGGACAGAUCUAGUGUAUUAAGUCAUAGUCAGUGUCAGACUUCUUUAAAACAGAGCGUGCCCAUGGAUUCUUUAGUCAGACAAGGUUGUUCAGGCUCUCCUCCUGUAAGAAAGUAUAGGUGUGCACGUUCUACUUUCCCUUCUCCAGGACACACUUGCUUUGAGCUUCGUCCUGCUCCUGAUCAGGAGGUGAGCUGUGAGUUAAUUCCUCGUGGUCAGUAUCACUGAUGUCAGCAAACUUCCGAAGGCUACUGCCAGGGCACCAAAGAGGAACUUCCAAGGAAUUUCCUGAAAACAAAGAAAAAUGGAAUUUUAAAAACUGGUUGAGGUGAAUCUGGAUUUUCCCUUCCCCAGAAGUGUGUCUGCAUGCUUACUGAAGCAUCCUUCUCUGACGAUUUUGAAAACGGUACAAUGUUUUCCCUGAAGACCUGCGCGGGUUUCCGCUUCCACGUUUGAGUUUCGUUCUGUCUGGCCUGUCUCUUCACCAGCUUCGACAGCUCCACGUGGAUGGCCUAGAGAAAAUCACACUCUCUACAGACCUGAAUAAUAUUCUCAAGGACCAUACAUUAUUAACCAGCAACAGGGUUGUAAAGGAAAACUGGGAAAACUUCAGAACACAAAUUAAUGACAUUUUCCAUUUCACCAGCAGGAGGCAGCAAAAAUAUCAAUAUAUGUCCCCACUCAGCUGAGACCAAAACAGUUACCAGCUGAGAAAGGUCAGCAGAGAAUUGCAGCAGCGACGGCUGUCCGUUUGGGGUGGCACCUUUAACUCUCCUCCUGGAGUCCUACCCAAGCAACCAAGGGCCUUGAGAGCAGGGACGGGGGAGGAUGUUUGGGAGAUGCUCAGAAGACACACCUUGGUGGAAGGCUCCAGCUUCAGGGCCUUUUUCAGCGUUUCCAGAGCCUCGCCGAGCUCCCCUUUGUCCGACAGCAGCUGUGGACAGAGGGCAGUGUCACUCGCCACCAGAGGCAGGUGAUGCACUCCGGCACUUUCAAUAUUCACAGCCCAUUGAACAAUGACAAGGAAGCCCACAGGAAGUGGUUUCUCCGCAGGCUGACGGAGUCACAGCGGAAAUUUCAGGUGUCGUCCUGAAUGGGCCGCUUCAUGGACGAAGAGUGGAGGGAUCUGUUUCUCCAAAGCCUGCAGUUUACAGUAGAAUGCUGCUUCACAAAGCGGGCUCUAUCCAAUACGGCCAAAAACAGCCCCCGCCCCCAUGUGAGCACACAGCGCGCAGGUGUUUGUUGUUACGAGCAAAGCACCUGGGAAGGCCUCCGGCUGCCUGUGGGGAUUUCAGUAAAACCGUGGGCACCAUUUAUGGAGCUCUCCAGGAGGGGGGGGCUGUACCGAAAACUGGCAGGUGGAGUCCCACACCAAAGAUACUUGUGUACCCAGGAUUUAAGGAUGGGUGGGGCCCUGCUGGGAGGAGCUGGGGAGGUUCUUUACUCUCACCGUGUUCACUGUAGGUUGACAAUAUUGCUCCUGCCCCAAAAGAGAAGGGGAAGUGGCUGGAUUUGAAAAACGGACUUGUGUAAACAUGUUCAGUCUGGCAGAAUUUGGAGGAGGCCUUGUUGACAGUUCUGUUCCAUUGUGUCCUGUCUUUCCUCAAAGUCGUGUUGAAAGGUCCGCCGUCAGCUGUCACUGGAGCAGAUGGGCUGCUUCCCCAGGCAGGGAGAGCGGAGAUAUUAGACUCCCAGAAUAACAAAGGCAGCCCACCUUCAGCGGUUCCCAGAGGUGAAAGGGCACGGGGAGGUCACCCCAGUGUCAGUCACGUUAGGUCACCUGUGGCCAUCACCAGGUAUCUCCAGACUCGGCCUGCUACGACCCGGCCGUCCCGCGAAAAACAAGCGUCGCCUUAACAUCAUGCUUCCAGCUGCGUCGUUUGGACUAACACAAUUAAAAGAUGAGUCUGUCCAGAGCAUGUACCCCCCCCCCCCGACCCCGUGGUUGCCAUGGCAACCAGCAAGUAGCACGUCUGCAAAAAAAAAAAAACACGCCCAGCAUUUGGGCUUCAGUACGAAAAGAUGAUGGAUUUCCAUGAAAAUCCAAUUAAGUAAAUUAUGCCACGUGACAUUUAGGAACUUCUCAGGUUUUGCGUGUGUGAAACCUUUUUAUUGGGAUUUUUUAUUUUUAUUAUUAGUGAUAUAUAUUUAUAUAUCUAUAUUAAUAGUUAUUCUUUCUAUCAGUAUUACCACCACAGCUUUGGCCCCAUGGUUGAAAUUACGGCCAGCUUAAUAAAUGACAUCUUUUGUUUACUUACUGGUGUGGACAGUGGAUCAGGUAAUGCCUUUACAUCAGGUUAUUAUUGUCGUUAUCAGACGUAUUUAUUGCGUCUUUACACGGUUCACUGUGCAGCUUAUUUGCUUUUUUCACCAGUUAUUAAACAAGAAGGUAGCAGGUAUUUCCACUACACUGGUUCCUUUGGGGGUGGGGGGGGGUGGGAUUCUGCCAGUCCAGGCACAGUUGGCCAUUUUCACAAACUGCCUGUUUGCCCCGGGCCACGCGGUGCGGGUACGAGCCCCAGCAUGCACUGCAUCGCUCCGAUCUGAUUACAAGGCAGGCCGGAUAUUCCAGAGCCUCGCAGUGCCGUGCUCUAACCACGGAUCUGAGCAACAAAGGCUUCCUGUGUAGAUUACAUCCAGGCCGACAGUGGUUCCAGCAGACCAUUACAGCCUGCCAACCGAAGACGUCUCUGUGAGAAAUAAUUCACUGUACCCUGACUGUAAACCACGUUAUGUGCCACAACAAGGACUCUGUAUCUCGGCUUUACAUCUCUGCAGUGCCUUGCGGCAGAUGCCAAACACAAACAUGACGCGAUAAGAGGGAUAAGGAGGAAGACAUUCACUAUGUAAAUAAAAAUGACACAACUCGGCGGGACAGCAAAAGGUGAGACAUGAUGGCAAUCUCACUUGUAAAGCUAAUUUUAGCCUGCAUUAACGACAUCAAUGCCUGUCCAUUAUCUGUACGAUGUCUGGAAUCCCAAGCAGGACUUACAAACCUAAAUUCAGAUAAAUGUUCUUAAUGUAAGGAUGUAUGUCUAUGCAAACGCCUCAUUUGGAUUGGGACGCGAUGUGGUGGCAUUUGACAUCUUUCAACGUGCAAGGUCACCCUGAAGUUCCAGGGGACACGGAGGUUGACCGUCCCUGCAGAUGGUGAAAAUCCGAGUGACGAGGUGUCUGACCAGCCAUGUGAGUUUAGAUGCUCCAUCUGGGGCUUCAUGAAGAACAUGGCUGAGGACCUCCUGUAGAGUCCCCCACCAACCCCUAGAUAAAUCAUGUCUUGCAUCCUGAUCUCCCAGGAAUCACAUUUGACAUGAACAGGCUAAUGUGGUGAACAUGCUCUGAGGGUCCGCGGUUGGUCUCGGUCCUCAUUUAAAAAAAAAAAACCGAGGAGCCCUCUUUGUAAACUGGGCCAACUUCAGCCCCCAGGGUGGGAUCCUGUAUUAAAGGGCAGAAGCAGCAGAGAUGCAAAGACCACAAACACAUCAGUGAGUGUGGAGGGGUGGGAGUAAUUGCAGACAGGGCCUGGCACAUAUGUAACAAGGCUGAUAUAUUGUUAUAUGUCAUAGUUUCAGCUGAACUCUUUCAAUUAGAAGAUAAACAUAGCUUUAAGGUCCUAAACUGCACACCAGUAUAAACUCCCAAAGGAUGACAGAUGAGGUAAAACCAGUUUAAACUGCCUGGGGAGCACAGGAACCGGCUUUCAAAACUUUCACAAACAUGACGACCAGCUGAAAUGUUCUCUCCUUACUCAUUAGACGUAAAUCAACAGUGGGGAUCUCUGGACCUCAGGGUCCCUUUGUUUCCCCGCGGCACGUCUCUGGGACGUGGUGUCCCCAGAUGCACGGCCCCGCCUGACUCGCAGCCGCUCUCUUCUGCUAAUUAAGGGCAUGUCUUGAAGGUUGCCAUAGUGGAGCCUCAUGCAUCUGGGUGAUAAUUAUAGCGGCUGUAUUAAGGUGAGUGUUUCUAUUCUCUGAGAUCAUUACCGGCAUGUAUGACCUUCUUGGGCAUCCGGAGACAAGAUGCGUACAAAUCCAACAUCAGAAUUGAAGCGACAGGAACCGCAGUCCUGGAUUCGAUGGGUCCGUCUUCUUUGUGCAGGUGGCUUAAUCACAAAGAACCACAAAGCGAGAGUAAGACUGAGCCCCGGACUGUCUGUCGUAAUCACAUUAUCAUUCAUAACAAGUAAUGUGGUCUUUCUGACAUGAGUCCAAUUCAAUUCCAGAAAUAAAAUCCAAGAAGAGCGACUCAGUAAUAUGAGAAAAUAACUCCUGCAUGUAGUUCUUAUUGGAAAAACUGUUAAUCAUACACGCACAUAAUGGCUUCUUACAGCAGGCCGCCUGAACACCUCAUAAGUCUGAUGGCACGAUAUGGCCCCACUGUCUACUUCCACUAAGCUCCCAGCCUGUGAUGCAGGCCAAAGAUAAAAGAAAACACCUGAAGUCAGGCCUCCUCGAUGCCCUUUUUGGGUUAAGUGAUGCUUCCUGCCUCUGAUGUGCACCUCAGGGUUCAGUCAGACUCUCAUUGUGUUUCAGUUAGAAGAACAGGUGAACCGGGGCUAGGCGGGCAGGCAUUUGGGUAGAGAUGCAAAAUUCAGGUCCGGAAAGUGAGAAUCCAGACCAAGAUUUUGUUUCAACCAACCAGUUGACUAUAAAGAGUCACGUCACAGAGUACUCAGCUGGUUGGGUGUCAGAGAAUAGCAACACUCAUCCUCAAAAAAUGAAUCAUUUCUGAUUAUAACCAUGGAGGGAAACUUAUGGAGGGACCACAACCCCCACCCCCACUGAGUUCACAAAAUUCAAUAAGAGGGAGCUGGGGGCAUGUCCGGCCCACUGGGAAGGUAGAUAGACGCAGAGGGAGCUAUAUUACAUAGCGAAGACCUCUCUUUUCUACCACCGUUAUUAUUACCGAGUAUUAAUAUUCUAGCUGCCAUUUUCACAAAAACAUAUGGCUACAAGGUUGAAAACAGCACUAUGACUUUGUACUCGACAGGCAGUUAUGGAAGAUGGAUGACUGUUGAGUGGAAAAGUGGCCCAAUGCUUCGGAAUCAGCCCUUGGGGUCUGUCUCGCUUGUGACAGAACAUUGGUUCUCAUUUAAAUGGGCUGCUCACAGGAAACACAGGGCCGUUGAUCUGGCCCUGCAUCUGGGCGCUGGCCAUAGAGACAGGCGACACGCCUGGGCAUGGGGGCCCCUGGUGGUCCUGGCAAACAAAGACCUUUUAGCUAGGUAUGGUCAAACAAAAGUCUUUGAGCUGUUAAUCGGGGAGGUGCAGCAUACUUUUUUUCUGAAGGCAUCCUACUAAAAUCUCCAUGUCUGUAAUCUAAGGCCCAUGUAAGCACUUACUGCUUUAGCCCAGACCAUUAACCCAAAUGGCAAAGCAUUCAAAUGGAAACACAGCAUAGUGCGUCACCAGCACAGGGUCCCGGGCACAUUGGUCAGCCACCAUUACCUUCUUGCAUUAUAAUGGUGGAGUUCUGGGUUUUUUUUUUUGGGGGGGGAGGGUAUUUCACAGCUGAUUCUGCUUGUUCACCUUCUUCUUCUGAAUGCCAUAACAUUCAUGUUUUUUUCCGGGUUUUCCCAUCGACGUGCCUCCUGUAAACCUCCCCCCGGCUGAAGGAAGCAUCCACGGCAUGUCCCGAGAUAGUAGCUGAACCGGCCUAGAAAACCAGGUUGGCAUCGUGCCAAAGCAAACACGUGCCAUUCAUGCGCAUCGGGGAACUUUCCAGAAAGGCUGAAGAAGAAAGAGAUGUUGCACACCAAUGUGUCAGCUAGCUGUCGGGUUCAAGACGGAGGGCAUUUGUAGCGUGUGGCCUUGAGGAGGACGACAAGCUGUCCCGCCACGCUAUUCAUCAUUACUCAUUUGAACAGGAUUUAUACGAGCUUGCGCCAUGACAUCACCGACAACAGAUCAAUACUCUUAAUUGAUCAGCCUCUUGAGAGGGUGGCUCAGAUCUUCAGCCUGCUUGAGCCCCAGCAUCGACAGAAUAGUCACACAGCCAUGGGCCCAUAAGCACGGCCUUUACCCCUCAAAUGCUUCAGAGGUGCUGCACCCCUGACCCUGCACUGUGACCCCCAAGCUUGCUUUCAGCACUAUAUGUGUCUGUGUCUCUCAUGAGGCGCAUUCACAUCGCUGGAACUUUUUUUCUGGAACCAGAACCAUUUUUCUGGAACCAGGAACUUUUGUUGCAUUCACACCACAGGAACUUGGCCCAAUUGUAGUUCCAAAAUCCUUUUUUAGUACCUACUCCAGACUAGGUACUUUUCGUUUGAACAUGAAUUACUGGGGAGGUGCGUUGAUCGAUUGCUUGCUGAUUGGUUGAUCACAAGCACCAGCGUUAAGCGGAAGUGCAGGAAAAGCGAUAUAGCAGCGGCAAAAAUUUAGUAUUUUGAAUUAUUUUUGCACCCUAAUUACAUUUAAGUAAUAAAUUUAUACAUUUUUUGCUUCCCUUUAUUUCUGCAUGGGAAAAUUAAUUUAAAAAUCGGUGCUGGCUAAACUUGCCAGUAUUUAUUAGCGGGAUAACAUUUCAUCAUUUUUUAUUUUGUGGGAAACAAAAGAUCGAUCAGUUCGCCAGAUUUUGUCUAUUGGGUAUUGUGAUGAUGAUGAUGAUGAUUGAUUACAUGUUGAAUGUGGUUGCUUUAUAAGAGGAUUAUACUGGAUCUCUGACCCAUUUACACAGCUGGGUGUUUUAAUGUCCAGUGGCACAUCAGCGGUUCCUCCCUGGCACCAGACCUGGCUCAUCCAUCUGCUGCCAGCUGCCCCUUAUAGCCUUUUAAAAAGUGGCUCAGCGCGAGAUUGUGGACCCCCCAGGGGAGAGGCUGUGUCUGAUACGUGCGGAUCACUCAGGCCUAAUCAGCAGUGCGAAAAGUGCAUUAUGGGCCGCCUGCUUUGACUUGUGGAAGAGAGUGACGAGGUGCCCAGUGCUCACAGUGAUGCCCAAUCCAACUUGGCAUACAGGGGCCAAUCCACAAGGCAGAGACAGACAAACACGGCCCCUGUCAAACACACCCCGAGAGUCAAACACACCACAAGAGUCAAACACACCACGAGAGUCAAAGAGAGUCAAACACACCACGAGAGUCAAACACACCACGAGAGUCAAACACACCUCAGCACCAGAAGUACACACUGCAAGUAACCUACAGAUAACAUAUCACGCUGUAUUCCACUCAAUGACCACAUGCAGGGAAGCUGUAAUCCUCUGAGAGAUCCCGAUGACACCCAGAGAACACAGUGGGGAUUUCAGAUGACAUUAAUGGGUAGCGAUGCCCAAUAACCAUGGAGCUAUUUCAUUUCUAACCUAGUAAUAACAGUUUAAGAAGUUGAAUCUUAUGUCCAAACAAUGGUCAGUAUAAGCCGUUAUAAUGCAUUAUGAAGGUAUUUAUAGUGCAUUAUAGAUGAGAGCUUCAUAGAGCAUUCUUAAUUCAUAAUUAACAAGACUAUAGUGUUAUGCGUUUUUAUAAAUAGUAUCUAUAAUACUUUAUAAAUGCAUUAUAAUGUAUUAUGAAGAUAUCUAUAAUGCAUUAUAUAUGAGUGCUUUAAGUCUUAACGAAAAACGUUUAAUAAUGUACAGUGAAUACAGCAGGUGUAUUUCAUGCGUGUAUUUCAGCCCUCUAACAUCACCAAUGGCCCCAGCCAUCAGUCGCCAUACCUUCCCUGACGUCCGUAAGCGUACUGGGAGUUGGUGAGUAGAAGCGAGAUUUCCUCAGGAUGCAUUGACACGGCACAUCGCUCCAAGGCCUGUGUCAAAGAGGGAGUUUGCUCAUUCAGCACGGUGAGACCUGUGUAAAUAUCACAGGCUAAUCGCUACCACUGAUCUGUUUGAGAAAAGUCUCGGCGAAUGACCUCAGUAACCCAAAUGUUUCCGGUAUUUUUAACUGUGGGAGGCUGAGUCACCCUGGUGUUUACAUGACACUUCCCUUAAGUCUCCAAACGGGGGCGCUUUCUCCAGACAUGACUGUACCGCCAAUAAAGGCCUUUUAGACCCAUGACGCUGCGGCGGGAAGCACGAGGGAUUUCACACGCAUGUCUAACUGCCAGUGAAGAGACCUGUCGUUUCCGCGAGUGAAGUGAAGAGUACAGGCCAGAAAGUGACAAAAUGAUGUGACUUUCCUGACCGGCUAAUGAGGGGACAUAGAUAUGUGACAAAGCACAGGCUCUGCGUGACUCCUCAGUCACCCACCUGAGACUGUUUACAUGGCUUUUAAGGUUAGUACAUUUACGGCACAGAGACUGCUGUCACAGUAGUCCAACACACUGUAAUUAGACUUGCAUUACCUACUGUAAUUAACCUGUCAUUACGUGCCAUAAUUAAACCAGCGAUACACACUGUAAUUGAGCCAUCAUUAUAUGCUGUAACUAAGCUACCAUUACGUGCUGUAAUUAAACUACCAUUACAUGCUGUAAUUAAACUUUCCUGCACUAUUGCUCCACUGUCUGCACUUGCACAGGUAGCUUCAUGCCUCACCUGGUGGACGUCUCCUUCUCCAGUGACAAACACGAGUUUGGAGUCUUUCUCCACCACAGUCCUGUCCUCCAGGAUCCCCUGCAGCUUGACGGUGACCUCCUGGCCCCAGACGGGCCGGGUCCACUGCUGAAGGCCUUGUUGUACAAUCUUCUUCCUCAGUAGUCCGUCAUCUGCAGACCAACAUGUGUGGAGCCCUUCCUGACCAUGUCAACACCCAGAGUAUGAGUGAAGCUGGAUAAUUUACUCCUUACUUCUUCUGCGGAGAAUAACUCUUCAAAGAUGGAGGUCGUCCAUUCUUCAGGCUGCCAGUCUGGAAACAGGCUCUCUUCAUUGUGUUCAGUCACCGCCAGUGGUAUUUGAAAGCGGACUG